rnacentral:ribozyme from 1 species
ACACAAUGAUUCGAAGCUAAACCGUGAGGGAAAAAAAAACUUGUACAUCAAGCACAACCUUGUAUUUUACAUUAUUUUUUUUCGAUCUAUUUUCCUUCCUCUUC